AAAUUGAAGAGUUUGAUCAUGGCUCAGAUUGAACGCUGGCGGCAGGCCUAACACAUGCAAGUCGAACGGUAACAGGAAGCAGCUUGCUGCUUUGCUGACGAGUGGCGGACGGGUGAGUAAUGUCUGGGAAACUGCCUGAUGGAGGGGGAUAACUACUGGAAACGGUAGCUAAUACCGCAUAACGUCGCAAGACCAAAGAGGGGGACCUUCGGGCCUCUUGCCAUCGGAUGUGCC
rnacentral:rRNA from 1 species